AAAUCUCAACCUCCUCGGUUUCUUCUGGAAACCAAAGGAGGCUUGGACUUUGGAGGCCUUUGCUGGCGUCUCUCUCUUUUGAGAGCCCAGCUCCUCUUAAAUGAAUUAGCGGGGUCCUCUUUGCUGGUCCUCGACAUGUGAUAAGAUGUUUCCAUGUCUUGGUUUCUGGCUCUGUUGCUUUUGGGACCCGCUUCUAACCGUCUCGACGAGACAACGUUUGAGCACGUCUCCCGACGCUCUCAACCUCACGAAC
rnacentral:misc_RNA from 1 species